rnacentral:lncRNA from 1 species
UGAUUCUGGAGGAUCCACCGCUGGAUUCCUUCCUCGUCGACUCCAGCAAGACCCGUCGGAGUUGUUUCAACGACCACCCAUGUCACCUCUCCGCUCCUUCCCUGCUCCUCUUGACCUCUUCCUUCCUUCUCCUGCCAACCUUACCUCGUUUACCCUCUAUUUCUUCCUGCACAGGGAGCGCUAUGGCAUUUGCUUCAAGCUUCCGUGCCGCCCGGAGCUCCUCGACGCCGUCCGGAUCCGACGCCCUGGAAACCCCCGACCCCGCCGCCCUCCCAUCCAGAUCCGGCCUCCUCUCCUUCGCUUGCCGCGCCGCGGUUGCUAGCUGUCGGUCCCCUACCUUACCUGAAGCCGCCGUGACCGGAUCCAGUCUCUGCAUCGAGCAGAGAAGGGCGACGCUGCCUGCCGUGUGCCUUCUCGUCGCGUGCGUGGGCUGCAAGGGCGCCAAGGCCCAACUAGCAUUCCCAGCCGCCCAGCGCGGCCGAGCCGCUUCACCAACGGGCCGAAGCCCAUGGGUGAGCUGACCCCCCAGUGCCUACUCUGUUCGGCCUGUGUUCAGAUUCGGCCCAAUUGUUUUUUCUCUGUCCAGUGAAUUCUGUAAUUAUCGAGAGAAAACCUGUUUUACAGAUUGCACCCUCAAGUUGAUGCAUAUAAUAACUUCAUAACCGUGCAUCGGAUUAAAACAACUUUAUAUGUAAAAUGUUUAGGAUUUCAUCUACUUACACAAUAUCCAACUUCCAUCCAUGUUUAAAAUAGUUAAACUUGCUGUUUGUAUUAAUUUGCUUAAAUGACAUGUUAAAAUGGUUUGUUCCAUGUCUAAGUAACCGUAGCUUUGAAUUAAUUAAACUAUAUAUGUAAAUGGGAUAUAAAAAUGCAUAGUUUGACAUGGUGCACUUUAUUUCCCUGUGUUAACAACAUUAAAAUAUUAUUAUAGGCAAAUAGUGUCAAAUUCAAAAUAUGCACAUGAGGAUUUUUCGGAAUUGUUGUUUGUUAUUUCCGGUCUCAUUUAAACUUGGCUAGAUAGGUAGAUUCAUUUUGCUUCACCUCUUGCCAUGUUAAGAAUAUUUAAACAUGUUGAGUUCAUUGAGAGUGAACUAAAUACUUGAAUGUGGUGAUUCGUUAAUAUGCAACUCGUUGCAUAGUGAGCACCGCUUAAUUUGUAGUAUUGUUUGUUGCACUUUGCCAUGCCAUGCAUAUUUAAACCGGACAUGCAUCAUACUUGAUUGUGCAUCAUGCCAUAUUUAUGCUUGAGUGUUUACCAUGUCGUUUGCUUCUUUCUGGUGUUGCUUCUUAGUUCGGGUAACAUUGCGGAUUGUGAGGAUUCGUUUGACUACGUUGGUUCGUCUACUUCAUGGACUCGGUCAUCUUCCUAACGGGAUUUCAGCUAAGAUGAUCAUCACCUUGGAUCUCACUACUAUAUUUGCUAUUCUAGUUGUCUUGAUGCUAUCGCUAUGUCGCGCAACCCCCCACUUGUUUAUCAAGCCUCCCAAUAUGCCAUGAAACAACCUCUAACCUUUCCACCAUCCCAGCAAACCAUUGUUUGGCUAUGUUACCAUUUUGCUCAGCCUCUCUUAUAGCGUUGCUAGUUGCACGCGCGGUUGUAGAUUGUUCCAUGUUGGAAAAUGGAUAUCUUGGAAUAUCACAAUAUCUCUUAUUUAAUUAAAACACAUAUAUACUUGGUAAAGGAUGGAAGGCCCGGCCUUUUGGUGGUGUUUUGUUCCACUCUUGCCGCCCUAGUUUUCGUUAAAUCGGUGUUAUGUUUCCUUGAAUUUUGCGUUCCUAACGUGGUCAGGCUUAAUGGGACCCCCUUGUUUCUUUGUCUAAAGUAAAGCUUUCUCGAGGAGAUCCAACAUUGGUUUUACCAUUUGCCUAAUAAUAAGUAAAACCUGCAUAGGGACUUCCCGGGCCUCGAGGAUAAUUAAUCAACAACCCCUGGGCCAGUGCUCGACAUGAGUGUUGGCCCACCUACCUAGCAGUCGGCGGUGCCACCUCGGGGCAACUCGAUGGUAUUUUGGCUAUCGUCCACUUUGCAUAGACGGAUGAGUCUGUAGAUAGAGAGCGUACGGCUCUGGACACGGAUCUGACUCACCGGGAGAUCUCCUUGGGAUUAUUUUCCUUUCUUCGAAGAGCUUGUGCACUGAUUCCGAGCUUGCUAGGGUUGUCCCGUGAUGGAGGAUUGUCUCUGCAGAUCGUGAGAGCUUAUCAUGGGCUAAGUUGGGACACCCCCACAGGGUUUAAUCUUUCGAAAGUUGUGCCCGCGGUUAUGUGGCAAAUGGGAGUUUUUAAUAUCUAGUUGUAGAGAACUUGACACCAGAUCCGAAAUACAAUACACCAAUCGCAUGUGUAACCGUGACCGUCUCCUUUCGAGCAAGUUCGGGAAAGAACACGAUGGGGUUAUGUUUGACUCAUAAGUAGUUCAGGAUCACUUCUUGAUCAUUACUAUUUUGCCACCGUUUGCGUAGUUUCACAUCUUAUUCUUGUACUCGUAAGUUCACCACCAUACAAUGCUUAGUGCUGCUAUAGCCUCACCACAUAUCCAUUCCAUACUCAUUACGCUCUGCUAGUCUUGAUACCCAUGGUAAUGGGUUUGCUGAGUCCUCGUGGCUCACAGAUUACUACAACAAUAG